ACAGGACAGAUAGUAAUUAAGUGGGCAAAGCUGGAAAGGACAGGAAAGUGCGUGUCCAUUUGAAUGGCUUAUUCAGAACUUCAAGCCUUCUGGAACCAUGGUUUCCCUGCGGGCAUAACAUCUACUAGGAUGGUUCGUGGAAAGCAUGAAGAGCCAGAAGAGCAAGUGGUUGUUUGUAUACAACGUUGUCCUCUGCUACUUUAUACUUCAAUUACCAUAAGUGAGCUGUGUCGACGUUGGUUACUGGUUAGUUUAUUAGCAUGUCCAUCUCAGCUAAACUUAAAGAAAGGGCAGGUAGCUGGAUCAGAUCUGCUAUUGCCUUGUUGACCUGCUGUUUGGGCAUUUCUGCCUCUCAUUCUCUGGCAACACAACAUUGUUAGCUCCUACUAUCUGCCUUUUUGCAACCUUGCCUCAUCGCUCCGCUGGCUCGUAAAAUGCUGGUUCUGAAUUCUGCAUCUGUCAGGUGUUCAUCCGUUGUUAUAUUCACUGGCUGUUUCAACCUUUGAUCCACAAGCGCUUUCAAUUGACCCAAAACGGCUUUCAGUUGAUCCAAAAGCGCUUUCAAUUGCCCGUAUAUCAUUUACUCAGAUUUCUCAUCCAUCACCUCGUGCUUGUCGUUCUAUUUAUUGAGGCCAUUCCACACCAAAAAAAAGAGAGAGGGGAAAAUUGUCAGUUUUUGCUCCUAGUUUCUGAUAAUGUACUUGCUCAUGUCCAUACUUGGUGUUCAAUCAUCUACUGUCUUUAUGGACCGAGUCCAUUCUCUUAUUUUCCUCUAGAAACACACCUCCAACUUCUCUUUCAGCCUGUUUCUCAGAGUGUCUUUCUGCACCCAAAAUCUGUGCAUCCACAAAACAAACAGA